AAAUCACUAAUUAAACCUUUCAUAAAUACUGAGUCCAAAUCCGAUGGGCAAUCGGGCAUCAGAAUUCAUCGAUAUGUAACCCUGAUCGAAAAGUCCCAACCAGUGGGACUCUUGACCCCGGUACCCAUAAUGUGUGGAACUUAUGAUCAGAGAAUCUUGAUUCUCGAUCAUUGAGUUUUAAAUAUAUAAGAUUCUACAUCAGCCA
rnacentral:lncRNA from 1 species